GUGGGGAAUCUUAGACAAUGGGCGCAAGCCUGAUCUAGCCAUGCCGCGUGAGCGAUGAAGGCCUUAGGGUUGUAAAGCUCUUUCGUGGGGGAAGAUAAUGACUGUACCCCAAGAAGAAGCCCCGGCUAACUCCGUGCCAGCAGCCGCGGUAAUACGGAGGGGGCUAGCGUUGUUCGGAAUUACUGGGCGUAAAGCGCACGUAGGCGGACCAGAAAGUCAGAGGUGAAAGACCGGGGCUCAACCCCGGAACUGCCUUUGAAACUCCUGGUCUUGAGGUCGAGAGAGGUGGGUGGAAUUCCGAGUGUAGAGGUGAAAUUCGUAGAGAUUCGGAGGAACACCAGUGGCGAAGGCGGCCCACUGGCUCGAUACUGACGCUGAGGUGCGAAAGCGUGGGGAGCAAACAGGAUUAGAAACCCCGGUAGUCC
rnacentral:rRNA from 1 species